AGUUCGAUUUGACAGCAACUAGAAACUAACGCGUAUUAUGGGUAUUAUUUGAGUUUUUCUUAUUUUUUCUCGCGCUGACAGGCACCGCCAUAAAUUGUCAAUCAAAAUCGUAAUUCUUUAUAAUUUCGGGCCAUACCCCAAACAUAAGUCAAAGCCCAGGGCAACCCAAUCAACGUCUGUCUCCUUCUACAACUUUGACGUUUGCAUUGUCGUCUUUUCAAUUCGGAGCCGGAGCCAGAGCCGAGCUCUGCAGCCAAUUUGUCGGGAUUUUGGGUACCAGAUAAGCGGCUUAGUUGGGUUAUAAAUGGAAAUUGCAGCCAGGGCGCGUUCCUGUUUAUAUAAGAUGAUGAUGAUAAUGACGAUGAUGAUGGCGAUGCCGACCAUCGACCGUCGUCUUGAUGACGUUGCUUGCAUGCGAUUUGAAAAAUCAGAUUAAUAACUUCGAUUGCACUCGGUUGUAAAGAGUAAAGAGUGGGGAGAAAGAGCAAAUGAGCACCGAGUGAAAGAGCGAAAGAGGAAUCAAGUGUCGACAAAAGUGAAGCAAGGCUCAAGUAUUUUCUCUACUCUACCUGAUAAUUGGCUCACGUUCCAGAUAGAGUAUCAAGUGGAUUUCGUCUACUAUAAAGAAGAGGAAAAGCAGCA